rnacentral:lncRNA from 1 species
GCGCAUUAGGGUCCUCUAUCGCGUGCCCUCCAUACUGGUUCUGUUGGACCAUUGUGAUCAAACCAGUCUUCAGCUCGAAAUUAUUGACAUUGACACGUGGAGGUUCCUGGUAAAUAUACUGUGGUAUGAAUGCCUCAUUAAUCGGAGGCUGCUUCUGCUCCUCUAGCUUUUUCUGCGCAUCCAAUAACUGCUGCAGCUGUUCCUGUAGAGCACGAAUCUGUUCAGCAGUAUCCAUCGUAUGCAGUGCCUAAAAAAACGAGAAUUAGAAAAAUAAAAAAAUAAACAGUAAACGCCUGAAGUACUACUAAGUCCUAUCGGAAAUAUUAAAGAAACUUCUAAUCAGUCCCCGGCAACGGCGCCAAAAAGUUGAUCACUAAUUUCUUAGCAACAAAUACUGCAACUAACACAGGCAAUUGUAGCAAAUAAUAAGUAACCGAGUAUCGUAUCCACAGGGACUGACA